AUUGACACAAGACAUUGUUGAAUCAUCGCAAAACGGUACGAGCGACGAAUAAUUCGAGCAAUGACGAGAAAACAAAUCAAUUGUCACAACUCACCGAUCAAUGCACCGCCGUUGGCUGCUUCCCAGCAUCGGAUCGAACAGCGCUUUCUUUCAUUCUCGUCGAUCGAGCCGGAAGCGAGAGGGGAGAAGAAUCUUAAACCAAGACGCCAGCGGCAAAUCGCAGGGAAGAACAUGACGUAUACAUACAAGCGCGAAAUGAAAACAAAACAUUCCAAAAGUGCCAUGUGCGUCGUCGCGAAAGAAGAUGAAUUAUUGUAUUUUCACGAGUGCGUAGAAACGACGAGGGUGGAAAAAGAAUAGAGAGAUCUUGGAAGCGAGCCCUCGACCGCUGCGUUCUUGGCACCGCAUAAUUAGCGGAAUGAAAACGGAAGAUAACUUGUGACAUUGCGCGGAAAAGAGAAGAGCGAGACGUAUUUAAUUAAAAAAAUAUAUUUAAAGGGUGAAUAAAAUCAGCUGUUUAUAUAAGAAAAUGAAUCUAGUGUAACGCGGAGUUUUUAUUGUCAUUCACAUCGAAAGAGAGCGAUAUAAUUUUAAUGACUACUAAUUAGUAAUUUUGAUGAAUAAGGAGAGCUCUGUCUUGUUUGAUUUUGUCAAAACUUUAUAAUAUAGUGGUAUUUUUUGUCUGUGAAACACGAAUUACGUAAAUGUUCUAUGUUUAUCUUGACACAAUA